AAGAAAAAAACCUCAAAAUUGGAUACAGAUUAGACAGAGAAAAAGAGGGGGGAGAGGGGUGGGAGAGAGAGAGAGAGAGAGAUAGAUAGAGGGGGGAGAGAGAUAGAGGGUGGGUCUGCAGCCCACCCCAGCCACCCCCUACUUCCGCCCCUGGCUGGUGGUUGGUUAGCGGCAAAUCCAUCAAACAGUAUGAAUGCUGGAAAUGAUAAACAAAGUAAACUAGCUGCGUCUAAUUCGACCAUGGUUAAAGAAUUGCUAGUUCUAGUUCUAUAAAGCUUAGUGGAUCGUCAAGGUGACCUGCUCGUUCUAGCAGGCAUGAACCCCCCACUUGCUGUGGCAGAUUCUAGAGAUACUCGCCGGCUCUCACUUGGUCAUCAGAUCAUAAGUGUUCUUCUUCAAGCAGACAUGGUUCUGGCAUGUUGAACUUUGAUAUGGCUCUCAAAGGUAUUAAAGGCCUGCAUUUUAACGAAGACAAGUUGCACUAGCCGCGGCUUUGACAUGGUCAGUUUACCAGCUGUGAAUUUAAUUACCAUACAUCUGGGAGGAAUUUACUGUCUACUACGUUUAUUAGCAUUAGCCGGCCUCUUCAAGUUCCCCGGAUAUAGCAUUGCACAUUGCAGUAACAAAUGAUUACAUAGUCCAAGCUCAAUUCAGGCAAGUCUAUCAGCUUAACCAUAAUUUCUUUUCUGUUGCUUAGUUCUGGCUGCCCACUUCUGUUACCUUAGUCCAGCAUAAAUCAUAUUGGUUCUGUAAUAUGGUAACUGAGACCACUACAUGUAGUUUUUCGACCCAUCAAGAAGCAAGCAUAUUACUUAGUCAUGUGCCUAAUGAUAUAUUGCUUAUUUACCAGAAACAAGCAUUGCGUAUCUAA